rnacentral:rRNA from 1 species
UACGUAGGGCGCAAGCGUUGUCCGGAUUCACUGGGUGUAAAGGGUGCGUAGGCGGGAGAGUAAGUCCGCGGUGAAAUCUCACAGCUCAACUGUGAAACUGCCGUUGAUACUGCUUUUCUUGAGUUCGGGAGAGGUUGAUGGAAUUCCAGGUGUAGCGGUGAAAUGCGUAGAUAUCUGGAAGAACACCAGUGGCGAAGGCGGUCAACUGGCCCGUAACUGACGCUGAGGCACGAAAGCGUGGGGAGCAAACAGG